rnacentral:rRNA from 1 species
AUUGAACGCUGGCGGCAGGCCUAACACAUGCAAGUCGAGCGGAUCGGCGGACGGGUGAGUAAUGCCUAUGAAUCUGCCUGGUAGUGGUGGAUAACGUCCGGUACCGGGCGCUAAUACCGCAUCCUAUCAGAUGAGCCUAGGUCGGAUUAGCUAGUUGGUGGGGUAAAGGCCUACCAAGGCGACGAUCCGUAACUGGUCUGAGAGGAUGAUCAGUCACACUGGAACUGAGACACGGUCCAGACUCCUACGGGAGGCAGCAGUGGGGAAUAUUGGACAAUGGGCGAAAGCCUGAUCCAGCCAUGCCGCGUGUGUGAAGAAGGUCUUCGGAUUGUAAAGCACUUUAAGUUGGGAGGCGUUACCAACAGAAUAAGCACCGGCUAACUUCGUGCCAGCAGCCGCGGUAAUUC